rnacentral:snRNA from 1 species
AUACUUACCUGGACGAGGUCAAUGGACGAUCAAGAAGGCUCAUGACCUAGAUCAAUGGUUCACAUUGCACAUAGUGAAUGUGUUGAUCUACCAUCUCCCUUGGGAGAGUGGACGUCAAAAUUUGUGUUAGAGGGGGUACGAGUUCGCGUGGCCCCUGC